GAGGAGGAGGAAGAGGAGGAGGAAUGGCACACGAGGUCUCGGUUUUCAGCGGAAAGUAACAGCAAGGUCCCUUAUGAAUUUACAAACUAUUGUUGAAUUAUAAAUGAGAAGCUCGCUGGGAAAACAUUGUUAAAAAGACAAAAAUGCAAUUUAACAGCUUGUUAGUGUACGCUCAGGCUGUCGGAUCAACAGAACGGAGAGAGGUUACCGUUGUGCCGGCUGGGCUGCUUUAGAGGACGAUCUGAAUAUGUCUUAGUCUGGUCAACAAUGAUACACUACUCAAAUGUUGCAGUUUCAACAAUUCUAUCUUCCUUAAACUGUUACAAAGAGGAAUGAACUAUUUAAAAUUAAUGUCUGAGAUUGGAGCAGUUGUUUGAAUAUAAAAAGCUCUUUUGAGUCAUGAUAUAAGACACUGAUAGACUGCUCCAGUGAGAGAAUCAGAGGAAAUGGAGGACAGUGUGAAAAAGGGAGGGACGUGCAUGGAAAACUGACUGAGGAAAUGCCCCAUUCAGUCAAACAAUGGACUCUGCAACAAUUCAAACAUCAGGACUUUCCCACAAAAAUAUAAUUGACUGCGGAGCAUUGAAUUAAGUAAGAAAGUUUGGCCAAGUUUACACCAUAUGAACUUUGUAUAAGGUUUCUCUACGCUUGUGUCAUCAUUCAUCAACUCAUCUUUCAUCACUGACUCUUAAAUAAGUAAUUAGAUAAGAGAAGUCGGGUCAAUUUGCCCACUCUCAUUCUCACAAUAACCAUUUCUGGGCUUUUAUCUACUCUAAGGAAAGCUCCAGACCCAAUAAAAAAAAGCCAUCAGGAUGGUGAGUAUCUAUCCAAUUAAACCACUCCUCUCCUUGCACAAGACUUCUCAUUCAUCAGGAAUGAUCCUCGCUGAUUUUGGGCUAAAGGGAAUCUUUCAGCAGAAGAGCAAUAGCUGUGAUUCUGCAUCACUGUCGGUGUUGUAGCACAUGAGGCCUUGACAUGCUUUAACCUUACAGAUCACUGCCAUUGCCUUCUUAAAGUUGCUAUAAACCAAAAUGUUGAAAAGAUAAUACUGGAGGUUGUAAGGCUGUCAAUGAUGAGCAAGCAGAGCAUGUAAGCGAUAACUUUUUAAUACAACCCCCAGAACAAGUGAGAAAAUAUAUAUAUUUUGAGUACAUAACCUCCAUGCAGUUCGUCCACUAGUCCGAAUUCUGAAGAAAACUCCACUCCCCAAUAGAAAAAAAGCAUAAGAACAGUGGUGUUGCUCCUGAAUUUUGCAGCGUCCUGAUACAAGGUGCAGUACUUAGAGAUGAGCACACAGCAUAAUGCAUGCAUACAUGCGUCAGCAGUGUUUUUGGUAUUCGCUAUGAAGUCUUUUCGACGUCUCCAGUCAUGUUCUGCCUCAAAAGUCAGAGAGACGAGUGCUCGAAAAGGAUGACUUUGGAUUGGUUGGAGAGGCUGGAGAGCCUGGAGGGCCUGAACGCUCCGAUCCGAGAGUACACAUCUGCGUCUGAGCACGCGCCCCACGACAGGUGAGGACUUGGCGGGUUGGUGUGGAUCGCGGGCAGAGCGAAGGCCAAGACGGAAGGGGUGAGGGUGAGGGUGGGAGGAUUCUGGUGCAUCGGGGGCGGCGGGAAAGGAUGUGGGGGCAGCGGCAGAGGGGGCGGAGAAUGCAGCAGUGGGGGCGGAAGUGGUUUGAUGACUGCGCAUGUCACCGUGGUAGCGGUUUGAUUGGACUCAGGUGCGGCUUCGGGGUCGGGGGCCUUCUUGUUCGCCAGGUCCUCAAACAACGCGGCGUGUCUGAGCGUGUAGGUGGCGGAGUGGUGGAAGCUGUGGUACUCCAGCGCGUUCCUCGCCCCGGCCAACCUCAGCCUGCAGGACACAACACAAGUCAGUUUUUGCCUCGUGUUCCUUCAUUCAACCCAUUUUGGCAACCAGAAGUGACACGAGGAUGGAGCUCAGUACAACCAAACACCUGACGAGUCAUUUUAUGUCAACUAAAAUGUUACAAGUUCAAAACACGCUGUGGUAGCAAACAUGUCAAUCACACAUUUGCUGCUGUAUUAAACAAUGUGUCCCAACUACACACCCAUGAAAGGUAUUCCUCUGCAAGCCAGCAAGACAUUAAUUAUUCUCUGAUUAAAGGGACAGAAAUUAGGGAAGAAAACCAACAUAGCAUGCACACACCUGUGUCUCAGCUGUAAGAGUUUGUAAAGCAUCAGCAGAAAUAAAGCUCCAACCAGGGUCACCAGAAGCACGGCCACACUCGCAUCCAAGCUCCAGCAGGACUUCCCAGCAGGUCCCGGUGAGCUGCAGCUCCUGGGGGUCUGCGGGGUCUGCAGGCGUCCCUCCAUUCCUCGCUUAGGGAUGACGAUGGCCCGGACCAAGAUGGGCCAGGAGGGUGUCCAGCAGGUUCGGGUGUCGGCUCCUGAGCGCGGCCGUCCCAGGCUGGGUAGGAACCCGUAGAGAGGAGCUGCUGGUCGCCGGAUGACCAACCGGCAUCGCUGCUGGGUUUGUUUCCGACGGGCAGGAAUGUCGUUUGUCGUGACAAACGCUCACUGAGGGUUUAAGUGUAACACAAAAAGCUCCCACUGCUUUUUCCAAUAUAAAGCGCCUAACAUUUGAGAUUGUUUUCACUCAAAACAGUAUUCUGGCUUUGAUUUCAGUUUCAUUCAAAUUUAAUGCUGUCUAUGAAGUGGAAAAAUAUAGUACAGAAAAAACAAAUACUACUUAUUAAGAUAAACAUUUCUUCAAAUUAGAAUUCAAGUAAAGUUAGCCUGAAAACGCAAAAAACUUAAAAAACUUACUUCAUUCAAAUGUGCUGGCGUACAUUCAAAACAGAAAAACUGAACACAGCAAGAGCGCUGAAAUUGAACUAAGCUGCUUUCCAUGACCAAAUACAUUCUUAAGCUCACACUAAAGGGAGGAAGCCCGUGAAAACAGCAGGAAACCGUUCACUUCCCCAACACAGUUUACAGGGACGUGAUUGGAGAGGGCUUCCUAUCGCCAUGGAUACAGGAAACAGCUCAAGGAUACACCCCCCUCCCCCUUAGGACUACAGUUGUGUGGGUCUGAACAAAACACACAUGAGAGCACACACUAACAGAUUAGUGGCGCACAAGAGAAACUUAUUAUUUCCAAAUCUUUGAGACAAGCUUUAAUCUCUGCUCUAUUAUAUCAUUGCAAAUAAUCCGUCUAUGUAAGAUGAAAAAAGCUAAUUAAGCCUUACAUCAUGUAUCAGCUUGUAGAAUUGAAGGCUUUUUUACCUGGAUAAAUCAGGGAAAAAAAACACAAAACAGCCUCUUUGGAGCUGCAGGACCACACCUACAGAUCUGACCUUCAGAUCGCGACUUUAUCUCGGGCGAAAAUACAAACAAAUUGAACAAUAGCAGGUUUAAAGCGAAAAGAAAAGGGCUGUUUCGGAGGCAGCGAUGCGGCCCACAUUAGGCCACGGCGGUGCCAGUGCAGGUCAACGGAUGCAGAGAGAUGGUUGCCGCUGUGAAAGGCUGGCUGCUAUCUGAUUGAGCCGGUAUUCAGGGGACGAAUAAAUGACACACGGGCACAGAAAGUCCAGCUCUCGAUUAUCUGUUUAAUAAGUUUGAUGGCGGGCCAAAGCCGAGAGGGAGACACUCUUAGCUCUCACUCAAUAUCCCUGUCUGGCAACCUCACAACCCUCUGAUAUUGGAGAAGAGAGUAAUAUUAAAAGAUCUGUUAUCAGCAGCACAAUUGUUGUACGGGGAGGAAGGUAAUUCGCCCAGCCAACCUGCAAGAGAGGGAUUCUGGACCUGUAUUUAUUCUUAAAAACCACAAAUAUAACAGUCAAUGUCAAUAGAGACAAGUGUAUGUGGUUGGGUCGUAAAAACAGGGGAUGGACAAAAGAAAGCAAACAUCUCUUGCCAGGAAAUUCUGGGCUGUUUUUGGGCCUCUGCUCUGAAAAUGGCAAACCCAUGAUAAAAAAGACAGAGAAAAAAAACAUGAGCGUUGGAGCACGAAUGCUGCGAUUUUUCCGGAUUGAACACAUGUGGUCGCCCCCGCGAGUCUGCGCCGCGUUUAGCGCGUUUGAGGCGACGCAAAACAUCCAGGAGUAAAGAGCCUAGUUUGUGCUUCUGCGUUUUCAGAGCGACGCAAGGAAACGCAGACGCAAGAGCCCCUUGCGUGUCCCUUUUGCGUGCCUUUUCACACCUCCUUGCCUGCGUCGACCCAUUUUUCUAGGCUUGCGUCGAAAGACUGAAAAAACGCGAGCCUCACAAAGCCUUACAAAGUCUCACUUUUCCGUUUUCAUAGCACGAUACUGCCAUUAUUAAAACGAAGAAUGUUUACGAGAGAAUUUAUCAGAUUGAAGAACUUUUGUCAGAAUAAAUGUGUAUAUAUGACUUCUACAAGCCGUCAUUGGCGGGUUGGAUUCACGGAGGGAGAUCGCCGGAAACGUUGGUUUGCCGGUCGAGAGGUGCACAAAGUUGUGGAGGAAAAUACGGGACAAAGUCUGUCCACCUCAAGCAAGCUUUGGCUUUACGCAGGCAUAAACAUUCUCAUAAUUGGAAUCCUAAUACCUCACUCAAACACACUCCCUAGCAUCACGCACUCGACCUACGAGCCAUUCCGUAUUGUAGUUACAUUUACUAUAAUCAAAAAACACCCAGGUUCAGGAGCCAACACUUUAAUUUGCAGCAGGGUGGAAGGGUCGAUAUUGCACGUCAGAGACAAGCACCCAGAUCUCCAAGCCAACAAUGCUAUUUUUUGAAUUAAUAAAGAAACUAAGCCUUUCCAGUGGUUAAUCCUGUAAUUAAUUUUUACAGAAACGUAUUUAAAAGUGUAAUCAAUACAUCACGAUUGCACAACCAGAUUUAGCCAGUUUUUCCAAAUGAAUGCUUUAUAUGUAUGCAUUAUUAUUAAUAGGGAUGCCUUUCAUGUGCAAUGAUGACAGUGCCGCUGAGAAUACACAAAAAAAGGAUGAUGGCAAUUUAGAGGAUGGCGAUGUAAUGAUGGUGAUCAGGAGGAGGAUGAUAUUGAAAAUGAGAAUUAAAAUGGUCAUUGUGAGAGUCAUAAAAAAGAGAAGGCUGAUGAGGCUGAGGAGAACGAGGAGAAUGACGCUUUAAUGUGUGGAGCUGCUGCUCCGACAGCCUGAUGGAGUCAGCGGAUGGCUGAAGUAGGAGUUCAGUGAUUGAACUUUUGUCUUUCUGUGUGUGUGACUGAAGGCUACCAGGGAGCUGCUGAGUGCUUUUUGAGUGGCUGUCCAAUAUAAACCUACACUGUUACAUAUACAAAAAGCUCACUGCAAACACCUCCAAAAGUCUUUAAGUAUAAAGGAGUGUGUGGGAGGAGGGACGGGAUAUGUAGCUUGUGAGCAUAUAAUCACAUAAAAGACCAUCUUUAGGGAUGCAUGGAAUUUUAAUCCAAUAUAAAUCAUUAAUGUGUAGUUAUACAAUUGCUUUAUGUUGUAAAAUGGGGCAUUGAGGCAUUUUUAGCCAGAUGUGACCAAUUCAUUUUAGGUACAGUUUUUUUGAAGGUAGAUCAGAAGCCGCUGAUCAAACAUCGCUUUCUGGCCUCCAAAAUAUAUUCAUCUGAUGGUGAAAGCAGUCGUGCGCCUUUGUUGUGAAGCUGCUGUGCAAACACUGGCAUUCACAGAUAGCGUGUCUAAAGUCACAAAAAACAAACUAGAUGGAUCUGCCAAGUGUACUUGAUCCAUUAAGCCUGUAUUUAACUGCAUCGUAGUUAUAUAUAUAUAUAUAUAUAUAUAUAUAUAUAUAUAUAUAUAUAUAUAUACAUAUAUAUAUUACAGUGCCUUGCGAAAGUAUUCGGCCUCCUUGAACUUUUCUACCUUUUGCCACAUUUCAGGCUUCAAACAUAAAGACAUCAAACUGUAAUUUUUUGUGAACAAUCAACAACAAGUGGGACACAAUCGUGAAGUGGAACGAAAUUUAUUGGAUAUUUCAAACUUUUUUAACAAAUAAAAAACUGAAAAAUUGGGCGUGCAAAAUUAUUCAGCCCCCUUAAGUUAAUACUUUGUAGCGCCACCUUUUGCUGCGAUUACAGCUGUAAGUCGCUUGGGGUAUGUCUAUCAGUUUUGCACAUCGAGAGACUGAAAUUUUUGCCCAUUCCUCCCUGCAAAACAGCUCGAGCUCAGUGAGGUUGGAUGGAGAGCGUUUGUGAACAGCAGUUUUCAGUUCUUUCCACAGAUUCUCGAUUGGAUUCAGGUCUGGACUUUGACUUGGCCAUUCUAACACCUGGAUAUGUUUAUUUGUGAACCAUUCCAUUGUAGAUUUUGCUUUAUGUUUUGGAUCAUUGUCUUGUUGGAAGACAAAUCUCCGUCCCAGUCUCAGGUCUCUUGCAGAUUCCAUCAGGUUUUCUUCCAGAAUGGUCCUGUAUUUGGCUCCAUCCAUCUUCCCAUCAAUUUUAACCAUCUUCCCUGUCCCUGCUGAAGAAAAGCAGGCCCAAACCAUGAUGCUGCCAUCACCAUGUUUGACAGUGGGGAUGGUGUGUUCAGGGUGAUGAGCUGUGUUGCUUUUACGCCAAACACAAUGUUUUGCAUUGUUGCCAAAAAGUUCGAUUUUGGUUUCAUCUGACCAGAGCACCUUCUUCCACAUGUUUGGUGUGUCUCCCAGGUGGCUUGUGGCAACCUUUAAACGACACUUUUUAUUGAUAUCUUUAAGAAAUGGCUUUCUUCUUGCCACUCUUCCAUAAAUGCCAGAUUUGUGCAGUAUACGACUGAUUGUUGUCCUAUGGACAGACUUUCCCACCUCAGCUGUAGAUCUCUGCAGUUCAUCCAGAGUGAUCUUCUCCACAACAGUAUCUCGGACCUGCCUGGUGUGUUCCUUGUUCUUCAUGAUGCUCUCUGCACUUUAAACAGACCUCUGAGACUAUCACAGAGCAGGUGCAUUUAUACGGAGACUAGGUGGAUUCUAUUUAUCACUAUUAGUCAUUUAGGUCAACAUUGGAUCAUUCAGAGAUCCUCACUGAAGAUCUGGAGAGAGUUUGCUGCACUGAAAGUAAAGAGGCUGAAUAAUUUUGCACGCCCAAUUUUUCAGUUUUUUAUUUGUUAAAAAAGUUUGAAAUAUCCAAUAAAUUUCGUUCCACUUCAUAAUUGUGUCCCACUUGUUGUUGAUUAUUCACAAAAAAUUACAGUUUUAUAUCUUUAUGUUUGAAGCCUGAAAUGUGGCAAAAGGUUUAAAAGUUCAAGGGGGCCGAAUACUUUCGCAAGGCACUGUAUAUAUAUAUGGCCCUUGAUAUAGCUCUGAAAUAUCAGCAGCCCAAAUGUGAUGUGUAUUAAUAAAUAAAAAGUAAAACAAUUUGCAUGAGGAUCUGAAUAUCUCUGCUCUAACGCUUUAAAGAGAGCACCCCUGAGCCAGCCUUCCAAUUAUGAAAACCAUAAGACCCAGAAAAAAGAGCUAAUAUGCUUAAGUUGUCAGAACAACUGAAAAAACAUGGCAACCUUUCCUAAGCAUGGAAAACAUGGUGAUACGUUAACAGCAGAUGUUUCCUAGAGUUAAUGUUUCUGUGUGUAAGUAAAUCAGUUCUGUCUUCAUUUUCUUGUAAUGUGGCUAACCUGUCUCAUCAUUAGCGUAUUGUGUAUGUAAUUCUAAUGCAGUAUGAAUGUCCUCUGUAUUCAAUGACAAUUUUAAUAUUUUAAAACUUAUACUACUCUUGUACCAAAAUGCUAUUCUGAUUUAUUGCCGAGCUUUAAACAGGGUUUGUUGAUUCAACAAGUAUCAACUAUAUAUUAUAUUUUAAACCAUUUGAGGUCUGUCUAGACUGUCCAGGAUGUCUAAAUGAAAUUGAUUUGACAAGACCACUUUCUUAAUCAAAGCAUACAUAGUUCUAAAGCCUAUAGCUAGAUUCAUAAUCAGGAAAACUGUGAUUUGAUUAUUUGUUCACAUCAGGUUCGAAUUUAAUAAAGUUAAUUACAUUCCUAAUUAUUAAAAAAGCCUUUUCCAAUAAUACAAAUUCUUUUUUUGUGUUGCUUCCAUGUGUCUGUUAUAUACUGGCCCACACUUUGGAGGAGCAAUUACACUACAUUUCUUUGUUGGUUAUUAAAAUUAGCUAAUUAUAUUCUAUUUAUUGCCAGCUCUGGCUUGAGCCUAUAUUAGCGCAGUGGGCUGUGCUGCAUAAAUCUACUGGACCCUUUGACAGACGCCACUGUUUUUCCACUAACCCUGAUCGAGACUGGGCCCACUGGCUUGAAAAUGCAGUUUUCCAACCUCUGUCGCUGUUGAUUUUUUGUCGAGUUGGUCCCACGUCUCCAAAGAGGCCCACUAAUUAUUUCCACAGUCCACCGAGCUGCUUAACAUUAAAAAAAAAAAGCAAAAUUAAAAACAGAAAUUUGUGGUUGUACAAGAGCUAUGUGCGGCACAUGUUGCCUGGCAACCACUAGAUCGUAUAAGAUACAGGUAUGAGAUACAACAUUCUGUGUUAAUUUGUGCACUGGGCUGGUAUUUUGUUGUUUCCCCUCAUGUGGAGUCUGCUAAGCUAUGCUACUUCUAGUUAACUCCAUAUCUACUGUAUGGACAUGACAUGACGCGGAAAAAGCAGGAUGUUGAACUGUUGCUGAUGCACUGCUAUGCAAAGUGCAGCUAAAAGAGAACAGAUUUGCUAUUCAGUUGCUGCAGAAUUUAAGUUGGCAGCAUGAUAUUUAAUAUGUGUUUAAUUAUAGAAUGAGAAUUCCAUUUCAUGCAGUGAAAACCAGUUUAUGUAAAGAACAUUCAAAGAAAAAACCUCCAUGCCAUGAAUGAUACAGCAUCAGGUUCGCCCUUCAUCGUCCAAUAAAAGUCUUCCCCUGUGAUAUACACUCAGAUUUCCGUUUUUGGGCCGCACGUCUCCUCAUCUGGCUCCCGUUCAGGAGUUGAUGGGCAGGCACGAUGAGUAUCUCACACUCCUGGAGAUCUCGGAGAUGAGCGACUGCGGCGACGGAACUCUGGACUCGCCAAGUGCGUCACGAUCGCGGCUCCUUACCGGCACCGCCCAUUUUAAAUGGAGGUUGCUAAUUGCUUAAUUGACGCGCAAAAGACUGUGAGGGGCCGUGGCCCUCAACGCCGACGCCUCGCAGUCCUCGGGUUCCUCCUCACACACACGCGUGUCCGAGCCCCCCCCCCCCCCCUCCCCGGGCCGCGCGCUGUCAGAUCAGCUUUCCACGGCAGACAGCACAAGGUCAUCAGACAACGACCCUCGGCCGGGGCUUCCCCGCGGCCGCCGAGCUGUCCGGAUUCAUUCUCAGUCAGCCGGUGUCCCGCACCCACGGCAGCCGUCAGGGUGCCACCAGUCUGAAGCCACGCAGACACGUGAAAGCGCCUCCCGACAUUUGGGGAAAUACCACCGAUUCACUGUCGUUCUGUUUCAUCGCAGAGCGAGCUGAGUGUUUGAGGGGAUCGCUUCUCUACUGCAGUUCUGCAAGUCAUUGAUGAGGUUGCUUGUUUCAUCCAAAACCCACAUUUGAUUUGCUAAAAGCAAAUAAAGCUUCAUAAGUGAUAAGCUAUUGAUCCUCUGAUCAAUUUUCAAUUGCUUACAGCUACGACCGCCAACGGAAUCAUUCAAAAAGGAGGAGAAGCUUGAAGACCUUUAACACAAACAUCACACUUGGAUGGAAGGAAGGAAGGAUGUCAUUGAUUUGGCAAAUGGGCCCAUUUUUUAAAAGUUAGAAGAGAAGAUUGAACCCAGUCUCAUAUCUCUCAGAUGAACGUGACGCUACAGCCAAGUUGCCGUUGGCUCCGUUUAGCAACUGGCCUGUAAUAUUUUAAUUUACCUGUAAGGCUGGCUAAUUGACAUACGUUAUGUAAUACCGUUACGCUAAAGUGUGGCCUACUGGCUGUGAGAGUGCUAUCGCAUCAUCUUACUUUAAGAAUAUUAAUAAAGUCUUCCAUCCAUUCACUUAUUUCAUUUUCAGCAAAUAAUCAAUUUGAGAUGAGGUCACACGAUGACGGCUGAGCAAGACAAUGAGAUGUGAUGAGGAGAAGACUAGUGGACAAGUAGUUGUGUCAAUGCAGAGAUGUGCACAACAUGCUUACACAUUAUACCCACAUGCCUCUUUAUAACCGUUUUAAUAUUUGUCAAUAUAUUAGUUGAGGGAUUUAAAAAAUAUAUUUUAACAUGAAAGAUGUCAAAAUGAACACACACAUUCAGAAACAACACACAGGGAAUGAACUGUGUCCAUAAACCGCCGGAGGACACAAUGUGAGCCGCUUAGGACUCUUGAUUGCAAUCAUUGGUGCGCUUGGGUGGAAAUUGAUGCUGCUGUUUAAUGUCUCUCCGUGUCAGACAGAAAACACUGAGGAGCACUGAAGAGGUUCCCCUUCCAAACCCUUCAACCCACACAAACGAGCCGCACGCGCACACAGACACAUGCACAGGACGGGCUGCUGAUGUCCCCAAGAGGCUGCUAUGGUCACUGCAUCCAAAGACAAGUAAAGAAAUAAAGAGGUUCAACGCAGAAUUUGAAAAAAUUAUCAGAUUUCAAAGCAUUCUUGAUAAACGAUUACCAAACAUGGAAGCAGCAGCUUAACAAAUAUAACUACGAAAAUUGAAAGUGUACACAUAUGGAGAAUUGAGCAGAAGUUUGAGGACAACUGGUUUACAUGUUAAGUUGGAUUUAUCCCCUGUGCGAACAUGCGGAAAAUGGGCAAUGGCUCCGGAUGAUUUUUUUUUAUUUAACUACUUUUCUGGUUUCACGUCUGUUUAAAACAGAUUCUGGGAUGAGGUCACUAAAUCAAUGAGAGACUCAUAGUCUGCAUGAGAUUAAUUUCCCGCACUAUUCUCCACAUCGCGUCCCUUGGAAGGCACAAGAACAAAUACAAAUAUUGUAACAGGAAUACCAGUGCUAAAGAUAAUUACGGUUUGAGUCUUUCAUAGUUUUGAAAAUAAAGACUCUCCGUUCUAUGGUGUCCAGGGAAAUCAUGUUUACCAAGCAGGGUGACCAGGAACGUGCUCCAGUCACUAAAGCUCUGUGAGCCCCUCUGUCCUCUGCACUGAGCAGCUUUCUGUACAUGUAUUUUCUUGAACUUACUUUUAAUUGAAAAGGUUUAAACAGAUUGCCUAACCAUUUAUUUUGGAGUUUAAACUGAAAGGUAUUCCAAAAUGUGACAUAUUGAUGCAGAGAUUAUUGCUGAAAAGCUGUGAAAUUUAGGAUUGGUCGCUGUGGUGGUAUUUUCUGCUUUUCAUGUCAUGUUUGCAGCCGGGUGGGCUUCCUAAGGAUUUAUGGAAGCAUGACAAAGCAUUAAAACACACUUGUACCAGUGUGAGAAUCCUUUAACAACGUUCUUACCAAAGUCUGGGUGGAUAUUUCCUACUGAUUGGAUACACGGUUUCAAUCACACCUGCCAAGUAUUUUUCUGAAAAGGUGAAUAUUGAUUUGGGAACAAUGACACGGCUUAAUAGACAGCCUGUCUUGCUGUUAAACAUAGCUAUUAUUUUUACUGUCAACGGUAUCGAAUGUUGACCUUGAUUCGUGCAGGAAUAUUGUUCAUGUCUGGCCUGUAGGGUUCGAUGAGCUCAGCUGAACUACCUCACACUAACUACACUUGGUCCUAUUUACUGGAGCAGUGAGUAUGAGCAAACCCACGGGGUUACCACGGUAACCGAGCGUCAUUUUUUGCCACAGUGAAGACUGGAUAAUACUCUUCAAGAUGGUCAGAGUUGUAGUGCACAUUUGUAAAACCCUUUUAAGAAGUUGUGUUUCUACAACUUGUUCAUCCUAUGCGAUGUGAGUGUGUGCGUCAGGAUCGGUUUUCACGCCUCGUGAUUCAAAGUGGACGCGAGUGUCAGACUUGGUUUGGCGUGAGUGUGGAGCUGAGACGUGGGUUAAAAGGCUUUCAUUAGUCUCUAACCAAAUGCUUAAUAAAUGCUUCACACUCAUUCAGCGUCGGAUCAAUCAACAUCAUAAUUUGAAAAUGUAUUUCCAUAUUUAUUCCUGGCUUCAGGACAACGGCACACUCCGUUAAAGACAAAAAAAGUGAUAUGUCAUCCGAUUUUUGCAAAGCGUGAGCAUUGUUUUUUUUAACAU
ensembl:lncRNA